GAUUCUUUAGCCCUGCCCAGAGUGAGUGGACUUUGGAAACCUAUGAGGAACCCACCAGUGAAAUCCCUUCCCAGAGUGAACUGACAUUGGAAAACUAUGAGGAUUUCACCACUGGAAUAAUGGCCCUGACUGAAUUGAAAUCAGAUGACUAUGAAGUCACCAGUAAAAUCCCUGGCCAGAGUGAAUGGACAGCCCCAUCCACCGAAGGACUCUCCGAAAUAGUGUGAGCUAUGAUGAAUACAUACA